rnacentral:tRNA from 1 species
CAUUAGAUGACUGAAAGCAAGUACUGGUCUCUUAAACCAUUUUAUAGUAAGGUUGCAUCUUACUUCUAAUGA